UAUACUUUCGCAAUAAAAACUUGUCUCUCUCUUUCUCUCAACAGUCGCACCCUAUUUUCUCCAUAUCUCCUUGGUUCUUCUAUCUCUUUCUUUCCACAUCACUCACCAUCAACACACACGAGAUCUCUGUUAAGAUAUGUUCCUCAUUCCUUCAAACAACACUUUGCAUUUCAAGCUUCAAUCAUUCUUAAGUUUAAAGUUCUAAGAUUUCUUCUAUGAUUUGUAUCUCAGUUUACAUUUUAAGAUUUUCCGAACAAAGACAUCUAAACAUGGCAUAUUUAAGGAUUUUGUGUAGUUUGCAACAAUGGUUCGAGUAAUGUGCGACAUUGAAGAACACACUUGUUCUGUUUGUAAGCAAGGUUGCAAGGCGAAAGAUAUGUUGAAGAAGAUGUUGGUGUUUUGAGAAAGGAGGUUAGGAGAUUGGAGGGUAAAGUUUUAGGGCUUAGCACGGUGUUGGAAAAUCAAACUAAAGAAUUAUAUGAACUUAAAGAUGGGGUAUUUUCCAAUUUCUAGAAUAUUUUAUUUUUGGGUAUUUUCCAAUUCUUACUCCAUACCAUUGAUGUCUAGUCUGAUUUGAAAAAAAUUAGAGUUUUCGAAAAAGAAAGUUAUGAAAAUAAUUAAGGUA